ACAAUAUCUGUUUAGCAUUACAACUACUAAUAAAGCUGGAGAUGGAUCUACUAGUAACAUAACAGUUGGAUUUCAAUCAAAUAACUACCUAAAAGUCACAUACAAUAGUAAAGAUGCAUACAGAAAGGAUAAGGAAAGUGUACUAAUCAGUCUCAUUUAUCAGCUAGAUAGCUAUCACUUAUGUGAUGUACCUAUUGAAAUUGUGACAGUAAAGAGUUAUAGUA